rnacentral:rRNA from 1 species
UACAGAGGUCCCAAGCGUUGUUCGGAUUCACUGGGCGUAAAGGGUGCGUAGGUGGUGAGGUAAGUCGGAUGUGAAAUCUCCAAGCUCAACUUGGAAAUGGCAUUGGAAACUACCUUGCUUGAGGGUUUGAGGGGGACUGGAAUUCGUCGGUGUAGCAGUGAAAUGCGUAGAUAAUCGAGAGGAACACCAGUGGCGAAGGCGGAGUACCCUGGAA